rnacentral:rRNA from 1 species
UUUAUGGAGAGUUUGAUCCUGGCUCAGGAUGAACGCUGGCGGCGUGCCUAAUACAUGCAAGUCGAGCGAACGGACGAGAAGCUUGCUUCUCUGAUGUUAGCGGCGGACGGGUGAGUAACACGUGGAUAACCUACCUAUAAGACUGGGAUAACUUCGGGAAACCGGAGCUAAUACCGGAUAAUAUUUUGAACCGCAUGGUUCAAAAGUGAAAGACGGUCUUGCUGUCACUUAUAGAUGGAUCCGCGCUGCAUUAGCUAGUUGGUAAGGUAACGGCUUACCAAGGCAACGAUGCAUAGCCGACCUGAGAGGGUGAUCGGCCACACUGGAACUGAGACACGGUCCAGACUCCUACGGGAGGCAGCAGUAGGGAAUCUUCCGCAAUGGGCGAAAGCCUGACGGAGCAACGCCGCGUGAGUGAUGAAGGUCUUCGGAUCGUAAAACUCUGUUAUUAGGGAAGAACAUAUGUGUAAGU